UAAAACACAAAAACACUCACACUCAUCUCUCUUUCUCUAUUACACAAAAACACUCACACUCAUCUCUCUUUCUCUAUUACACGAAAACACUCACGCUCUCUCUUGGCGUCUCUCUCCGCUCAUCUCUCUCGGCGUCUCUCUCUGCUCGUCUCUCUCGGCGUCUCUCUCCGGGCUCAUCAGCUCGUCUCUCUCGACGUCUCUCUUCGACCAUCUCAACAU
rnacentral:lncRNA from 1 species